rnacentral:misc_RNA from 1 species
GCAAAUUAGUAUGUAACCUCUGCUUAACUAAGUAUUUUAUACUUUCAUGAAUAGUUUUAAUAAAGAAUUGACAUUGCUUUAUGUAAUGCCUUCACUAAUUUAUUGCAAAGGUAAUUGCUAGUAAUUUUUUUUUGCAUAAACAGAUAAUGCUUUACUCUUAGGCCUAAAAGCCUUAGAAAUAAAGGCAAUAAAAUGGCCUUGCUGUUGUAGAAUUGCUCCCAUAUACCCCAAUUAUUAGCAUCUGUCUCUACAACAAAGGGUUUAGAAAAAUUGGGUAAAGCUAGAACUGGAGUUGUAGACUUCAAUUCCCUAAGCUUUUCAAAAGCCUUUCAAGUAUUGUUAUUCCACUUAAAUCAAUCCUUCUUCAAUAAAUUAGUUAAAGGCUUACAAAUGAUCCCAUAAUUAAUAAAUUUCCUAUAUUAGCUUGUAACCUUCAAAAAACUCUUGAGAUCUUUAACUGAAGAAGGAAUAGGCCAAUUUGCCAUAGCAACAACUUUCUUUGGAUUAGUAGUAACCCCCUGACUUGAUAUGAUAUGCCCCGGAUAUUUGUGCCUGUUUGGCAUUGAGUUUGG